AGUGUCCACAAUUUGCAAGUAACAGAUUAUGACUGCAAAGCAUCUAUCAGCAUCAGUAGAGGAGAAGGAAAAAAAAUACCAAUUAUGAUGGAAGCUGUUUCCCUUCAAGCUGGGUGAAAGGAGAAUUAUAAUACCUACUGAUCAAGUUAUAGUAAUGUAUCUAGUCUUCAUUAAAGGUAAG
rnacentral:lncRNA from 1 species